GUCGAGCGGAAACGACACUAACAAUCCUUCGGGUGCGUUAAUGGGCGUCGAGCGGCGGACGGGUGAGUAAUGCCUAGGAAAUUGCCUUGAUGUGGGGGAUAACCAUUGGAAACGAUGGCUAAUACCGCAUAAUGCCUACGGGCCAAAGAGGGGGACCUUCGGGCCUCUCGCGUCAAGAUAUGCCUAGGUGGGAUUAGCUAGUUGGUGAGGUAAUGGCUCACCAAGGCGACGAUCCCUAGCUGGUCUGAGAGGAUGAUCAGCCACACUGGAACUGAGACACGGUCCAGACUCCUACGGGAGGCAGCAGUGGGGAAUAUUGCACAAUGGGCGAAAGCCUGAUGCAGCCAUGCCGCGUGUAUGAAGAAGGCCUUCGGGUUGUAAAGUACUUUCAGUUGUGAGGAAGGGGGURKSGUUAAUAGCRMYRUCUCUUGACGUUAGCAACAGAAGAAGCACCGGCUAACUCCGUGCCAGCAGCCGCGGUAAUACGGAGGGUGCGAGCGUUAAUCGGAAUUACUGGGCGUAAAGCGCAUGCAGGUGGUUCAUUAAGUCAGAUGUGAAAGCCCGGGGCUCAACCUCGGAACUGCAUUUGAAACUGGUGAACUAGAGUACUGUAGAGGGGGGUAGAAUUUCAGGUGUAGCGGUGAAAUGCGUAGAGAUCUGAAGGAAUACA
rnacentral:rRNA from 1 species